UGCCCAGCAACUUUUAUCCCAACCUCCUCGAGGUAUUGGCCGGGUACGAGCAACCUUUAGGAAGAUCGGGUAACCAACCCCGGUGAGAACUUUGGUCGUAUGCUGACACGGAAGG
rnacentral:ribozyme from 1 species